CAAGUUGCGCAGUGACAGUAUCAUAGCCACUGAGGUUAAUCCGAGGCAUGAUUAUUGCUAAUUGAAACU
rnacentral:snRNA from 1 species